UGACUUUUUCCUUAGUCAAACCUCUUAAGGUUUGAUCAAGUUUGUAGCAAAAUAUAGUAACGUUUUCAAUACAAAACAAACAUUCUAUCAAAAUAUAUUAAAUGUUGAAUUUAAUGAAACCAAUUUGGUGUCGUAGAUGUUGUUAAUUUUUUUAUAAACUUGGUCAAACCUAAAGAACUUUGACUAAGAAAAAGUCAAA
rnacentral:pre_miRNA from 1 species